UAGGGAAUAUUGGUCAAUGGGUGCAAGCCUGAACCAGCCAUGCCGCGUGCAGGAAGAAGGCCUUCUGGGUUGUAAACUGCUUUUGCCAGGGGAUAAAAUGACCAUGCGUGGUUAAUUGAAGGUACCUGGUGAAUAAGCCACGGCUAACUACGUGCCAGCAGCCGCGGUAAUACGUAGGUGGCAAGCGUUGUCCGGAUUUAUUGGGUUUAAAGGGUGCGUAGGCGGCCCUGUAAGUCAGUGCUGAAAUCCCCCGGCUUAACCGGGGUGGUGGCAUUGAUACUGCAGGGCUUGAGUACAGAUGARGUAGGCGGAAUUGACAGUGUAGCGGUGAAAUGCAUAGAUAUUGUCAAGAACACCAAUUGCGAAGGCAGCUUACUAAGUUAUAACUGACGCUGAGGCACGAAAGUGCGGGGAUCAAACAGGAUUAGGUACCCUGGUAGUCCGCACCGUAAACGAUGAUCACUCGCUGUGUGCGAUAAACAGUACGCGGCCAAGCGAAAGCGAUAAGUGAUCCACCUGGGGAGUACGCCCGCAAGGGUG
rnacentral:rRNA from 1 species